rnacentral:rRNA from 1 species
UGGGGAAUAUUGCACAAUGGGCGCAAGCCUGAUGCAGCCAUGCCGCGUGUAUGAAGAAGGCCUUCGGGUUGUAAAGUACUUUCAGCGGGGAGGAAGGCGAUAAGGUUAAUAACCUUGUCGAUUGACGUUACCCGCAGAAGAAGCACCGGCUAACUCCGUGCCAGCAGCCGCGGUAAUACGGAGGGUGCAAGCGUUAAUCGGAAUCACUGGGCGUAAAGCGCACGCAGGCGGUCUGUCAAGUCGGAUGUGAAAUCCCCGGGCUCAACCUGGGAACUGCAUUCGAAACUGGCAGGCUAGAGUCUUGUAGAGGGGGGUAGAAUUCCAGGUGUAGCGGUGAAAUGCGUAGAGAUCUGGAGGAAUACCGGUGGCGAAGGCGGCCCCCUGGACAAAGACUGACGCUCAGGUGCGAAAGCGUGGGGAGCAAACA